GGGUUGUGAGGUUAAGCGACUAAGCGUACACGGUGGAUGCCCUGGCAGUCAGAGGCGAUGAAGGACGUGCUAAUCUGCGAAAAGCGUCGGUAAGGUGAUAUGAACCGUUAUAACCGGCGAUGUCCGAAUGGGGAAACCCAGUGCAAUUCGUUGCACUAUCGUUAACUGAAUACAUAGGUUAACGAGGCGAACCGGGGGAACUGA
rnacentral:rRNA from 1 species